rnacentral:rRNA from 1 species
UACGUAGGGUGCAAGCGUUGUCCGGAAUUAUUGGGCGUAAAGAGCUCGUAGGCGGUCUGUCGCGUCGGCUGUGAAAACCCGUGGCUCAACCCCGGGCCUGCAGUCGAUACGGGCAGACUAGAGUGCGGUAGGGGAGACUGGAAUUCCUGGUGUAGCGGUGAAAUGCGCAGAUAUCAGGAGGAACACCGGUGGCGAAGGCGGGUCUCUGGGCAGUAACUGACGCUGAGGAGCGAAAGCGUGGGGAGCGAACAGG